UGCCUGUGAUGAGUGAAAUGAAUAAGAGUAGUGGACAGAAGUGAUUUUCUGAGAAUUUGAAUCUGAGGCA